UACAGUUUGCAUGUUCAAAUAUGUAGAGAAAGUCAAGAGUCUCCAUUGGGAAUACUUACUUUUUCAAAUGACUGUACGUACCAUUUAGUGCCUUAGGAAGAUAAAAUGACUAAUUGAAGACCUCACCUGUCUUAUACGGACACUUUUGUAACGGUACAGGACCUGUGAUACUUACAUCAGUAGAUUCGGGGACAGUCAGUAACAAGAACAAAUAUUUUAAAAUAACAAACAGUGUGUGCGUUUAUGUAUAUACUUGCAAAUACCAUUUUGUAUAUUGUAUAUACUUUUAUAUAUACUGUUCUGAAGACACAUGGAAGUAAGAAUUUCAUUGUGCUAUGUACACGAAACAA